AACGAACGCUGGCGGCAUGCCUAACACAUGCAAGUCGAACGAGAUCUUCGGGUCUAGUGGCGCACGGGUGCGUAACGCGUGGGAACCUGCCCUUAGGUUCGGAAUAACUCCCCGAAAGGGGUGCUAAUACCGGAUAAUGUCUUCGGACCAAAGAUUUAUCGCCUUUGGAUGGGCCCGCGUUGGAUUAGCUAGUUGGUAGGGUAAAAGCCUACCAAGGCGACGAUCCAUAGCUGGUCUGAGAGGAUGAUCAGCCACACUGGGACUGAGACACGGCCCAGACUCCUACGGGAGGCAGCAGUGGGGAAUAUUGGACAAUGGGCGAAAGCCUGAUCCAGCAAUGCCGCGUGAGUGAUGAAGACCUUAGGGUUGUAAAGCUCUUUUACCCGGGAUGAUAAUGACAGUACCGGGAGAAUAAGCUCCGGCUAACUCCGUG
rnacentral:rRNA from 1 species